GCGUGGCGCCCGCGCCCGCCGUGCGGCGCCGCUGGAGCCCGCCGGGCUGGGGUCCCCGGGCAGCGGCGCGCGGCGCCGGGCCGGGAAGGCAACGGGGGCCGAGCGCCUGGGCGCCGCCGAGGCGGACCCGCUCCCGGGACCCGCUGGAGCCGGCGAAGGAACUAACUGAACUGGGGCCACUUGCAUUUCACCCCAGGAAGCAGCGACACACCUGGGCGGUGACAGGACGCGUCCAUGUGAGUGGAGGUGGUAUCUGGCUGUAUCUAAUCUCUGCCGACCUUGUCCAGCAGGAUGGGGAAGGAUGUGGGAUUUGGACUGAAGGUGAGUCUGCGGGUAUGCAGCAGCUGUGUCCUGAGUUAACGUCUUCACCGGUGAGUCCAUCUUCUCAUGAUCACACCCACCUCAGAUGGGCAUUAAUGCUUCGUGAUCUGAGUGUGUGCUCUGCCCAGGAAAUAGUAGCCUCUCAAUAAAUGGUGCUUCGCCAGGUAAGCCUGUGUCCACUCAGGCAGGGACAAAGUGGAGGGUUGUGACCUCAGUUGGUGGGGGUGGCCUGGGUGGCAAACAGUGAGGAUUAUACAAACCGGUCUCCAUCCCCACCCCCACGGCGUUAUCGCCCAUUUCCUUUGAGAGUUACCUGACGAGCAUUGUGUCACUGGCUCACCUGCCCGGCAGACGUUGUCACACAUCGAUGGUGGGCACGGGUCACUCUCGGGGCCUGCCGUGUGCAUGGCCUGUGUGCAGACCUUGGCACUGCAGCGCUGGACUCUCCGGCCUCACUGUGCCAGUGAGCCUGAUGGCACAGGCGGGAGCGUGACCCUGAGGGGCACUACUGGGGGACAGGCGGUGGGGGCCCAUCCUGGGGGCUCAGGGAGGGUCCUUCAGAGGAAGCAGGAGCUGGGCUGGAAGCUGGGACGCCUGGGCUGC
rnacentral:lncRNA from 1 species